UCCUUGCCCAGUGAGUCACCAUAUCACAAU
rnacentral:piRNA from 1 species